GCAAGAUGUAGCUCGUAUAAAGAGCAUUGGCCUUGUAAGUCAAAGGAAGGACGUGAAGUCUCACUUGCU
rnacentral:tRNA from 1 species